rnacentral:rRNA from 1 species
AUUGAACGCUGGCGGCAGGCCUAACCCAUGCAAGUCGAACGAGUGGCGGACGGGUGAGUAAUGUCUGGGAAACUGCCUGAUGGAGGGGGAUAACUACUGGAAACGGUAGCUAAUACCGCAUACCAUCGGAUGUGCCCAGAUGGGAUUAGCUUGUUGGUGGGGUAACGGCUCACCAAGGCGACGAUCCCUAGCUGGUCUGAGAGGAUGACCAGCCACACGGGAAAUGGGACACGGUCCAGACUCAUACGGGAGGGAGUAGUGGGUAAUAUUGCACAAUGUGCGCAAGCCUGAUGCAGCCAUGCCGCGUGUAUGAAGAAGGCCUUCGGGUUGUAAAGUACUUUCAGCGGGGAGGCGUUAGCCGAAGAAGAAGCACCGGCUAACUCUGUGCCAGCAGCCGCGUUAAAUC